GGAGACAGAGAGGGAGAAAGAUUAUGAUUAACAGGCCUCUACAUUCAAACUAAUUUCUCAGCGGACAACGGACUGAAACACAUCGUGCACCUCACAUCAGGUAUCAGAAGUGGGCUUUUAAAGCUUGGUCAGAUUCUUUGACCACACAACUGCAGAUCUUGUCGAAGCCUAGACUACAUCUUUAUUUAUUCUGUGCCAUCCAACAGACUCAACAUCCACAACUAAUUAGAUUCCCUAUGUGAGAAGACCACAUCCACAGGGUCUUUACGAGGAAAAUGUCUUCAGCUUGUUUCCUGUGACGGCUUCCUGUUGUCCAUCUGGUUCAUGUGGACCGCUUCCCUCCUGACUGGACACUGCUGUCAGUCCUCUCUCUCUCUGUCUCUAAAACUCUGGACCGCCCGUCUGUUCUGGACAGCUCCCUGAUAGGCAGAGAGCAUCCAGGAAGUGAGGCUGUGAUUGGCUGCUGUGGAUUUCUGCUGGAGUCAUCAGGAUUUUUUUAACACUUCCAGAUGUUCGUCCUGCAGCAGGCUGGCUGAGCUUCAUGCUGGAGCUGCGUUCAAACACGCCGCUGCACAACGCAGCACAUUUUCCACUGCGCCCGUCAUCUGUUGUUUGGCACGGGGAGGUCACAGGUUGGAGCUAGAAGAGAUUUUAGCUCAAGGAAACUUGACCAUCAUGAAGACAACACAUCCUUGAAGCUGCUAUCGUAUAUUUGUAUAGAUGUAACACAUUAAGGAGAACAGAUGUAAAAGAUGAUGAACCCACAGAGAAUUAUCACUACCCCUGCAGUUCCCCUCAACUUUUCAAAGCUUUAAGCAAAUUUCAGCUCACUGUUUUGGUUUUACAGCCUGAAACUUCACUGUUUUGAUCACUCUACUGCUCUCAUUAAACUAAUUUCUAGACUG